GCGGCCGUGGCUGACUGGUCACGGUGUUCGCUUUCUAAGCGAAUGAUUCUGGGUUCGAUUCCCAUCUGCUCCC
rnacentral:tRNA from 1 species